GCUAGCGAAACUGAAAUAGACACAGACAGACAGAGAGGGCGGGACACGGGGGAACGGCGAGACGGCAGUGGUUGAAACAAAGCGGUAUGUUUUGACUGGCACAAACGGUCGAGGAGUGAAGAUCAGUUGAACGUUUCUGUGACUCCGCCCAGCAGCUGCUCUUCUGAGAGGCACCGCUCUGACAGCUCUGUCUACUGGGAAACGUGCUAAAAGUCCUUCUGGAGGCUUUGCAUUUGAACCCCUAUGACUGGUUGCGGACUUGAAGGGAACGCCUUCCUGACAUCCAGGAAAAAGUUUUAUUGGAUAGUAGAGAUCUACUGGAAACAGUGGAGAGGGAGGAGAUGAUAUGCAGCAAAAGGCCGAGCCGGAUGGUUGCUGCUCCGUGUGGAACGUGUUCUAUCAGGUGUAACAUCUACCAAUGGUUUUACGUGACACCACCUCUUUGCUGUCCUACUAGUCAACCCUCCUGAUCAGAGCCUUUCCUAAAUAGUGAAAGGUUCAAAAAGUUCCCUGUACAUCGAACCAUGCCUGUCCUCUGUUCCACAUGUCUUCAGUCCGUUCUGGACCCUAUGACUCUGUUCCACAUGUCUUCAGUCAGUUCUGGACC